GGCCCUAUCGUCUAACGGUUAGGACGCCAGGUUCUCAUCCUGGUAAUCAGGGUUCGAUUCCCUGUAGGGUCACCA
rnacentral:tRNA from 2 species